GUGAAUCAUCGAAUCUUUGAACGCAAAUUGCACUCUCUGGUAUUCCGGAGAGUAUGCCUGUUUGAGGGUCAGUAUAAUCAAAAUCGGAGCGACGCUUUUUGGGUGACGCACCGGAGUUUGGGUCAGUCUAAUUAUUUUUUUUAAGAGACAUAAAAUUAACAUUCUUUUUUGCUUACUUUUGCGAUGCACAUAAUUUUUUUUUUUUAGUUUAACCUGGUGGCUAAA
rnacentral:misc_RNA from 1 species